UUUAUGGAGAGUUUGAUCCUGGCUCAGGACGAACGCUGGCGGCGUGCCUAAUACAUGCAAGUCGAGCGGAUCUUCUUGAGUAGCUUGCUACUCAAGAAGGUUAGCGGCGGACGGGUGAGUAACACGUAGGCAACC
rnacentral:rRNA from 1 species